rnacentral:rRNA from 1 species
GAUGAACGCUGGCGGCGUGCCUAAUACAUGCAAGUAGAACGCAGUUGCGAACGGGUGAGUAAUGAGUAGGUAACUCCUUCAUAGCGGGGGAUAACUAUUGGAACAGAUAGCUAAUACCCAAUACUUUGACAUGGACCUGCGUUGUAUUAGCUAGUUGGUGAGGUAAAGGCUCACCAAGGCGACGAUACAUACCCGACCUGAGAGGGUGAUCGGCCAACGUGGGACUUAGACACGGCCCAGACUCCCACGGGAGGCAGCCGUAGGGAAUCUUCGGCAAUGGACGGAAGUCUGACCGAGCCACUCCGCGUGAGUGAAGAAGGGUUUCGGGUCGUCAAGCUAUGUUGUUAGAGAAGCGGUAACUACCCAGAAAGGGACGGCUAACUACGUGCCAGCAGCCGCGGUAAUAC